AACAUAUGAUUGUGGGUUAUCUUUUUUUUUUAAGAGAAUUGGUUUUAAGUCUAAACCCUUUGGGUUCUUUCUUUAAUUUGCAUAUCUAGGAAAAGUUGGCAUUUUGUUAGUCAAAAUUCAGUUCUACAAUAAUUUUAAUUGUGGCUUUUGCUUGUAAGUUGAUAUUGCAUGUUGGGCUUUCAUUAAAAUGUGUGAAAAUCUGGUUUUUCAUGAUAAUGUUUGGUGACAUUGUCGACAAAGUGUGAGGCUGCAAAUGCAAAGGUGAUAGUGUUUCAAGAAAGUGUGCAAGAUAAGGGUUUGCAAUGGGUUUAACUAUGUUAGUUGGUAUAGUUCCUGAUAUUUCAUUGGACUCUUUGCUGAAACUGAUAGUUGACUUAUUAGAAGCCUCUUCUUCUAUGACGGAACAGGAUAUCAAAGUUUGUCUUUUAGGUCGUUUUUUUUUUUUUUGCUUAUGGUGCUCUUGCAAGAUCAGGAAGACUGAUUCAAGAAAGUAGGUAUAUUAAGGAAUUCAUUGGUGUUGUUAUUACACUAGCCACCAAAAAACGUUAUCUCUAGCAACCUUUUGUUGUUGUUGUCCUGUAGUACUAUUUGAUACAUAAAAUACCUAAACUACCCCCGUGACCCUUCCAUUGAUUGAUAGGUUCACAAACGAAAGCUCCCAGAAAAGGAAG